UACAGAGGUCCCAAGCGUUGUUCGGAUUCACUGGGCGUAAAGGGUGCGUAGGUGGCAUGGCCAGUUUGAUGUGAAACGCUCAGGGCUUAACCCUGAAAUGGCAUUGAAUACUGCUGUGCUGGAGGUUUGGAGGGGGGACUGGAAUUCUUGGUGUAGCAGUGAAAUGCGUAGAUAUCAAGAGGAACACCAGUGGCGAAGGCGAGUCCCUGGACAACACCUGACACUGAGGCACGAAAGCUAGGGGAGCAAACAGG
rnacentral:rRNA from 1 species